AGCCAAGCGCGGAGGGGUUCCACAGCUGCCACCAUUAGUCGGCCAGCCGGAAUGGACUGCCACAUGCGGCUGGUGGCUGGACGACCCAAUCAACGACUUCUGCUACCUGAUGUUCCGCCAGCCCACCAAGACUUGGAAGGAGGCGCAAGCCAACUGCCAACGCCUCCAAGGGAACCUGCUCAGCAUCACCGACCGCGAGCAGCAGGCCUUUGUGCAGGGUUACGUCGGGUCUCUGCCCUCUCUGUGGUUGGGCGCCGAUGUCUCCACCACGGAAGAUGACGCCCAAUGGACUGACAGAUCCCCGUUCACUUACAUCCACU